rnacentral:rRNA from 1 species
AACGAACGCUGGCGGCAUGCCUAACACAUGCAAGUCGAACGAGACCUUCGGGUCUAUUGGCGCACGGGUGCGUAACGCGUGGGAACCUGCCCUUAGGUUCGGAAUAACUCCCCGAAAGGGGUGCUAAUACCGGAUAAUGUCUUCUGACCAAAGAUUUAUCGCCUUUGGAUGUGCCCGCGUUGGAUUAGCUAGUUGGUAGGGUAAAAGCCUACCAAGGCGACGAUCCAUAGCUGGUAUGAGAGGAUGAUCACCCACACUGAGAGUGAGACACGGCCCAGACUCCUACGGGAGGGAGGAGUGGGGAAUAUUGGAAAAUGGGCGGAAGGCUGAUCCAGCAAUGCCGCGUGAGUGAUGAAGGCAUUAGGGUUGUAAAGCUCAUUUAACCAGGAUGAUAAUGACAGUACCGGGAGAAUAAGCCCCGGCUAACUACGUG